GUGGGGAAUUUUUCGCAAUGGGGGAAACCCUGACGAAGCAACGCCGCGUGGAGGAUGAAGGCCUUCGGGUCGUAAACUCCUGUCGACCGGGAAGAAUGCACUCGACCUAAUACGUCGCGGUGUUGACUGUACCGGUGGAGGAAGCCACGGCUAACUCUGUGCCAGCAGCCGCGGUAAUACAGAGGUGGCAAGCGUUGUUCGGAAUUACUGGGCGUAAAGGGCGCGUAGGCGGCCCGCCAAGUCCCGUGUGAAAGCCCUCGGCUCAACCGAGGAACGGCGCGGGAAACUAGCAGGCUUGAGUUCGGGAGAGGGAAGCGGAAUUCCGGGUGUAGCGGUGAAAUGCGCAGAUAUCCGGAGGAACACCGGUGGCGAAGGCGGCUUCCUGGACCGACACUGACGCUGAGGCGCGAAAGCUAGGGGAGCAAACGGGAUUAGAAACCCCGGUAGUCC
rnacentral:rRNA from 1 species